GUAUCUAUUUUUUUCUCUACCUGUCAUUAGGUUGUCCCCCACAUUACAGAUGCUAUUCAAGAGUCAAUUGAGCAUGUAACAGUUAUUAUUAUGGAUGGGAAAGAAGGCCCUGCUGACGUAUGUGUCAUAGAACUAGGCGGAACGAUAGGGGAUAUCGAAUCUAUGCCGUUUAUUGAGGCUUUGGGUCAAUUCUCUUAUCGUGUGGGAAAUGAGAUUUUGCAUCUGAACAUAUUGGACCCUGAUGCUUCUAGAGCUCUUGAUCCAUCACGCGAUUAAUCUUCUUCCCAUUCUUUUUCACAGGCACCGGCAACUUCUAUCUCAUUUAUGUCAGUCUCGUUCCCAUUUUGAAUGUCGUUGGUGAACAGGUAGAUAACAGUGGCUUCUGCUAGUUACUUGCACUGGUGGAUACAUAAUCUAUUCCAUUA